rnacentral:lncRNA from 1 species
UGGGCUUAAAGGGACUUUAUUAACCGUGACUAAUAUCAGAGGAUCCAAAGCUGCACCCACUUGUUAAUUUUGAGGAAUUUGUAAAUGUGGGAUUAAAAAAAGAUUUAAUUUCACGCGUAGGUAUGAACAGCUCCUCAUCAUCCCGGGUAGAGGAUGAACCACUCAUCAUCCCGGGUAGAGGCAGAAUAACAUUCGAGAAUGGGACAUGGAAUGAGGCGACGGCCGCAGCAAGCCCCAGCAGCCCCAGCCCCAGCCCUAGUCCCAGGCCCAGCAGCAGCAGCAGCAGCAGCAGCAGCAGCAGCAGCAGCAGCAGCAGCCCCCACUGUCCCGCCGCCCGGAGAGGCUCUGCAGCCAUGAAGCCGACCGUCCCAAGGCACCGCCGGUAAGCAGGGAGUCUCCGCGGAGCUCCCGCCGCCGCUCCCCCUUGGCGCGUCCUGCCGCAGCGAGAGGCAUGGAGAAGGCCGCCCCGCGGGGCGCUGAUCCCCGCGCCGCGCCCGCGCGCA